GUUAAGCGACUAAGCGUACACGGUGGAUGCCCUGGCAGUCAGAGGCGAUGAAGGACGUGCUAAUCUGCGAUAAGCGUCGGUAAGGUGAUAUGAACCGUUAUAACCGGCGAUUUCCGAAUGGGGAAACCCAGUGUGAUUCGUCACACUAUCAUUAACUGAAUCCAUAGGUUAAUGAGGCGAACCGGGGGAACUGAAACAUCUAAGUACCCCGAGGAAAAGAAAUCAACCGAGAUUCCCCCAGUAGCGGCGAGCGAACGGGGAGCAGCCCAGAGCCUGAAUCAGUGUGUGUGUUAGUGGAAGCGUCUGGAAAGGCGCGCGAUACAGGGUGACAGCCCCGUACACAAAAAUGCACAUGCUGUGAGCUCGAUGAGUAGGGCGGGACACGUGGUAUCCUGUCUGAAUAUGGGGGGACCAUCCUCCAAGGCUAAAUACUCCUGACUGACCGAUAGUGAACCAGUACCGUGAGGGAAAGGCGAAAAGAACCCCGGCGAGGGGAGUGAAAAAGAACCUGAAACCGUGUACGUACAAGCAGUGGGAGCACGCUUAGGCGUGUGACUGCGUACCUUUUGUAUAAUGGGUCAGCGACUUAUAUUCUGUAGCAAGGUUAACCGAAUAGGGGAGCCGAAGGGAAACCGAGUCUUAACUGGGCGUUAAGUUGCAGGGUAUAGACCCGAAACCCGGUGAUCUAGCCAUGGGCAGGUUGAAGGUUGGGUAACACUAACUGGAGGACCGAACCGACUAAUGUUGAAAAAUUAGCGGAUGACUUGUGGCUGGGGGUGAAAGGCCAAUCAAACCGGGAGAUAGCUGGUUCUCCCCGAAAGCUAUUUAGGUAGCGCCUCGUGAAUUCAUCUCCGGGGGUAGAGCACUGUUUCGGCAAGGGGGUCAUCCCGACUUACCAACCCGAUGCAAACUGCGAAUACCGGAGAAUGUUAUCACGGGAGACACACGGCGGGUGCUAACGUCCGUCGUGAAGAGGGAAACAACCCAGACCGCCAGCUAAGGUCCCAAAGUCAUGGUUAAGUGGGAAACGAUGUGGGAAGGCCCAGACAGCCAGGAUGUUGGCUUAGAAGCAGCCAUCAUUUAAAGAAAGCGUAAUAGCUCACUGGUCGAGUCGGCCUGCGCGGAAGAUGUAACGGGGCUAAACCAUGCACCGAAGCUGCGGCAGCGACACUGUGUGUUGUUGGGUAGGGGAGCGUUCUGUAAGCCUGUGAAGGUGUACUGUGAGGUAUGCUGGAGGUAUCAGAAGUGCGAAUGCUGACAUAAGUAACGAUAAAGCGGGUGAAAAGCCCGCUCGCCGGAAGACCAAGGGUUCCUGUCCAACGUUAAUCGGGGCAGGGUGAGUCGACCCCUAAGGCGAGGCCGAAAGGCGUAGUCGAUGGGAAACAGGUUAAUAUUCCUGUACUUGGUGUUACUGCGAAGGGGGGACGGAGAAGGCUAUGUUGGCCGGGCGACGGUUGUCCCGGUUUAAGCGUGUAGGCUGGUUUUCCAGGCAAAUCCGGAAAAUCAAGGCUGAGGCGUGAUGACGAGGCACUACGGUGCUGAAGCAACAAAUGCCCUGCUUCCAGGAAAAGCCUCUAAGCAUCAGGUAACAUCAAAUCGUACCCCAAACCGACACAGGUGGUCAGGUAGAGAAUACCAAGGCGCUUGAGAGAACUCGGGUGAAGGAACUAGGCAAAAUGGUGCCGUAACUUCGGGAGAAGGCACGCUGAUAUGUAGGUGAAGUCCCUCGCGGAUGGAGCUGAAAUCAGUCGAAGAUACCAGCUGGCUGCAACUGUUUAUUAAAAACACAGCACUGUGCAAACACGAAAGUGGACGUAUACGGUGUGACGCCUGCCCGGUGCCGGAAGGUUAAUUGAUGGGGUCAGCGCAAGCGAAGCUCUUGAUCGAAGCCCCGGUAAACGGCGGCCGUAACUAUAACGGUCCUAAGGUAGCGAAAUUCCUUGUCGGGUAAGUUCCGACCUGCACGAAUGGCGUAAUGAUGGCCAGGCUGUCUCCACCCGAGACUCAGUGAAAUUGAACUCGCUGUGAAGAUGCAGUGUACCCGCGGCAAGACGGAAAGACCCCGUGAACCUUUACUAUAGCUUGACACUGAACAUUGAGCCUUGAUG
rnacentral:rRNA from 1 species